rnacentral:tRNA from 1 species
GCUGACUUAGCUCAGUCGGUAGAGCACUUCCUUGGUAAGGAAGAGGUCAUGGGUUCGAAUCCCGUAGUCAGCUCCA